rnacentral:rRNA from 1 species
AGGAUUAGAUACCCGGGUAGUCCCAGCUGUAAACGAUGCAGGCUAGGUGUUUGGACGGCCACGUGCCGUUCUAGUGCCGCAGGGAAGCUGUUAAGCCUGCCGCCUGGGGAGUACGAUCGCAAGAUUGAAACUUAAAGGAAUUGGCGGGGGAGCACCACAAGGGGUGAAGCUUGCGGUUUAAUUGGAGUCAACGCCGGAAAUCUCACCGGGAGCGACAGCAGUGUGAAGGCCAGAUUAAAGGUCUUGCCAGACGAGCUGAGAGGAGGUGCAUGGCCGUCGCCAGUUCGUGCCGUGAGGUGUCCUGUUAAGUCAGGCAACGAUCGAGACCCGCGUCCUCUGUUGCAACCAGCUUUGAGCUGGGCACACUGAGGAGACCGCCACUGAUAAAGUGGAGGAAGGAGCGGGCCACGGCAGGUCAGUAUGCCCCGAAUCUCCCGGGCCACACGCGAGCUGCAAUGGCAGGUACAAUGGGUUCCGACCUCGAAAGGGGGAGGCAAUCUCGAAAGCCUGCCGUAGUUGGGAUCGAGGGUUGAAACCCACCCUCGUGAACAUGGAAUCCCUAGUAAUCGCGUGUCACUAGCGCGCGGUGAAUACGUCCCUGCUCCUUGCACACACCGCCCGUCGUUCCAUCCGAGUGACUCUUGGGUGAGGUGCCGUCUAAUUGGCGGUAUCGAAUCUAAGUUUCAUAAAGAGGGAAAAGUCGUAACAAG